GGUCAUACAUUAGUCCCUUUGAGAUUUGCACAUAUGGAUGAACAAAGAAAUUUGGAGAACUUGGAGAUCUAUGCAAUUGAUGAUCUAAAUCUUCAUCUACCUAUAUAUAGAUCUUAAAGCAACCACAUGAAUGAUCUGAAUAAUUUGUUAGACUGAUCUCAAAGUAAUCAUGUGCAUGAUCUGGAUUAUUCAUGUAUAUGCAUAGAUCUUAAAGUUGAAAUAGGCUAAAAGAAAAAAAAAGAACAUUUUCAUCAAUUGAAAUAGUAGACUAAUAUCAUCUACUGGUUAGAAAGUCCUAACACCGGUUUGGA
rnacentral:lncRNA from 1 species